rnacentral:lncRNA from 1 species
UCCCUCUCAUCACAUUAUUCCUUUUACAUCAAGCCCAUCUAGUAACUCCUCCCAUGCUAUAUCUUCAACAUCGGAUUCAGGAAGUAUCUCUCAUGAGGUUGCCACCAGCAAUCGGUCUUCAUCAAAUGAGCCUGAGAACUCCAUCACAUCUUUCCCAGGUAUGUCUUCUUCCACAUCAUCUUCUACCUCUGCUUCCUCAUCCUCAUUAUCAGUGCCAACCCAUUCCACUUCAUCCGUUCCUUCUUCUGCCCCUAUACCAAAUCACUCCAUG